UUAAAUUGAAGAGUUUGAUCAUGGCUCAGAUUGAACGCUGGCGGCAGGCCUAACACAUGCAAGUCGAACGGUAACAGGAAGCAGCUUGCUGCUUUGCUGACGAGU
rnacentral:rRNA from 14 species